rnacentral:rRNA from 1 species
GACGAACGCUGGCGGCGUGCUUAACACAUGCAAGUCGAACGGAAAGGCCCUGCUUUUGUGGGGUGCCCGGGUGGCGAACGGGGGAGUAACACGUGAGUAACCUGCCCUUGAUUUUGGGAUAACUUAAGGAAACUGGGGCUAAUACCGGAUAGGAGCCCCUGCUGCGUGGUGGGGGUUGGAAAGUUUGGGCGGUUGGGGAUGGACUGGCGGCUUAUGGGCUUGUUGGUGGGGUAGUGGCUGACCAAGGCUUUGACGGGUAGCCGGCAUGGGAGGGGGACCGGCGACAAGGGGACUGAGGUACGGCCCAGAGUGGUACGGGGGACAGAAGUGGGAAAUAUUGCACAAUGGGCGGACGUCGGAUGCAGCAACGUCGCGUGCGUGAUGACGGCCUUCGGGGUGUAAACCGCUUCCGGCUGUGACCAAGCGUGUGUGACGGUAAUGGGUAAAGAAGCACCGGCUAACUACGUG